UUUGAUCCUGGCUCAGAACGAACGCUUGCGGCGUGGAUUAGGCAUGCAAGUCGAGCGAGAUUAUUUAGACGGAAGCUUCGGUGGAAGNCUAAAUAUGAAAGCGGCGAACUGGUGAGGACAACUUGAGUAAUCUGCCCUAAAGUUCAGNAUAGCCUCGGGAAACUGGGAUUAAUGCUGAAUGUGGUCGCCCCACUCAUGUGGGGUUGUCUAAAGGCUGGGAAUCCUUCGGGAUCCAGUCGCUUUAGGAUGGGCUCAAGGCCUAUCAGCUUGUUGGUAAGGUAAUGGCUUACCAAGGCUAAGACGGGUAGCUGGUCUGAGAGGAUGGUCAGCCACACUGGGACUGAGAACUGCCCAGACUCCUACGGGAGGCUGCAGUCGAGAAUCAUUCACAAUGCGCGAAAGCGCGAUGAUGCGACGCCGCGUGGAGGAUGAAGGCUUUCGGGUCGUAAACUCCUGUCAGAAGGGAAUAAAUGCAUGAUAGUUAAUAGCUUUCAUGUUUGAAGGUACCUUCAGAGGAAGCCACGGCUAACUUCGUGCCAGCAGCCGCGGUAAUAAGGG
rnacentral:rRNA from 1 species